UUGCUUUGGUAGCAAAUAUACUAAAAAAAAAUGUAGCAAUACAGAGUAGAUUAGCAUGACCACUGCACAAAGAUGACAUACAAAUUUGUGAAGUGUUCCAUUAAAAG